UUGGAGGGCAAGUCUGGUGCCAGCAGCCGCGGUAAUUCCAGCUCCAAUAGCGUAUAUUAAAGUUGUUGCAGUUAAAAAGCUCGUAGUUGAAUUUCGGGGUCAGUAGGCUGGUCGUGCCUCAGGUACGUACUGGUCUUACUGAUUCCUCCUUCCUGACGAACCGUAAUGCCAUUAAUUUGGUGUUGCGGGGAAUCUGGACUGUUACUUUGAAAAAAUUAGAGUGUUUAAAGCAGGCUAACGCUUGAAUACAUUAGCAUGGAAUAAUGAAAUAGGACGAUCGAUCCUAUUUUGUUGGUUUCUAGGAUUGACGUAAUGAUUAAUAGGGAUAGUUGGGGGCAUUAGUAUUCAAUUGUCAGAGGUGAAAUUCUUGGAUUUAUUGAAGACUAACUACUGCGAAAGCAUUUGCCAAGGAUGUUUUCAUUAAUCAAGAACGAAAGUUAGGAGAUCGAAGACGAUCAGAUACCGUCGUAGUCUUAACCAUAAACUAUGCCGACUAGGGAUCGGAUGAUGUUAAUUUUUUAAUGACUCAUUCGGCGCCUUACGGGAAA
rnacentral:rRNA from 1 species